AAGCAAGUAUAAGGACCUUAUCUUUUGAGGAAGUGUAUCGCUGUGUUUUUAUAACGCCUCACUUUAGUCAGUCAUUGACACAUUUGGAGAGUUCAACUGAAGUGGCUUUGACAGACAGAGGACCAACAGAUUCCAUCUCACCAAAUAAAUAAACGUACAAAGUCAAGAUAUCACUCAUGCAUUACUGAUAGACAUAACCUUUAAAGUAAAAUAAAACCCUUCACAGCGUUCGAGGGAGAAAAUCAACACACUCCUAAUCCACAUAAUGUGUACUACAAUACCAGACACCCGCUUGAUCUGUGUGUGAUCAGAGAGAAUCCAAUCAUAUACUACAUUAACACAUCUACAGCACGUUUAUUUUCAAUUUCUUGAAACUGAUGAAUGCAACGACUACAUACAUGCCUUCAUUACAAUAUUGCUGUGUCAAAGAGUUUUCUGUAAUGACAAGUGUAAGGACCAAACUGAGUUUUUUUAGUUGGUGCUCUGUUGACGAUGUGUGUCACUGCGUACAGCCUAAUUUGAGUCAUUAACAUGUAUUUGUAAUGGUCAACUGAAGGGUCUGAGAGAGAGGAAAUACCUAUCUAAUCUCACCAAAUCAAUAAUGUCAAAAAUGGAUGUCACUCACUGAUUACUGUGGGGAAAUAAAACCUUGUUGGUUUCAGAGGGUGACCCGAUCCAACACUGAUCACAUGGCAUUGUUUACAUUCCCACUCACCUGCAUAAACAGAACAAGGAAAUACAUGACAGUACAGUAGUACAUUUGGUAUCUAUUCAUUCAGGCCUGACUAUGACCUUCUGUUUCAUAUAGCAUCAUCGACAUCAAGUGUCCCUGUGCCCUGACAGACUGCUAGACACAUUAUAUCAUUACAGAAGCAUUAAAAGGCUUGUUAUAUGCAAAACAAGUUUAAAGUGAUCAUAUAGUAGAAUAUAGUUUGUCCUCCAAAUGAUGAGUCAGUGUUUUCUAAAAUUGUAAUCGCUGCUAUAACUAACAGUGAAAAUAUUUUUGUUUGUUUGUUUGAUGGUCAGUCAUUUCUGUUUGAUUAUUUUCACCAUUGGUGUUUGUAGUAUUGACCUAUGUAUGUUGUGGAUAUAUACACAAUACUGCCACAUGGUGGCAAAAUACAGUCAUUACAGUUGGUGUGAAACAGGCUGGUUGUGCUUGUAUCAUUUGAAUGCAGGGGCAAGUCAGUAAAAACAUAUAUAUUUCAUUUUCACACAUUUAGCCAGCUAUUCCAGCAAGGCCAAACAGUCUGUGAUCUCCUCUGGGUCAUUUUAAGCCAAAUCUAGAGAACCCCUCACCAUAGCGAUGUGUGCAGACAACACUCUCAACGACUCCCCUACCAAAGGACUGGUCUGACUGGUGACAUGGGGCCUUCCAUAUGUGAGGCCUCCAAUGAUGUGAGCGGGGUGGUCAUGGGGCACCUGGCUUUCAGCGUUCUCUACGGACCUGAUGAGGUGACCAUGGUGGCUACACCUAAGGGCCCAUCCUAUCACUCAGGCUCUGACAUCACCCUGUCCUGCUCUUCUGAGUCCAAGCCUGCUGCCCAGUUCCAGUGGGCUCUGAGUGGAACCCUGCUGGGUAGAGAGGGACCAGAACUCAGACUGGAGAACGUUCAGGCCAGGACUCAGACUGGAGAACGUUCAGGCCAGAACUCAGACUGGGGAACGUUCAGGCCAGGACUCAGACUGGGGAACGUUCAGGCCAGGACUCAGACUGGAGAACGUUCAGGCCAGGACUCAGACUGGGGAACGUUCAGGCCAGGACUCAGACUGGAGAACGUUCAGGCCAGGACUCAGACUGGAGAACGUUCAGGCCAGGACUUCUCCUGGGAUUGACACACUCAAGAGACAUGUGUUUUCACACACAUCGACCUGUGGUUUUAUUUACACUUUUUGUAUGUCUCCGU
ensembl:lncRNA